GGAAACACCGAUAUCUGCGGGGGAUAAAAACCAAUGUUGAGGAUCGAGCAAAGUCGUUGCCGGGACAAAGAUCAUUGCUAGGGGAACUAACAGGAUCACCGGGAAUCAGAGACUGUUGUUGGGAAAAAGCAAGCUAUCACAAUCACCAAAGAUGGGGAUCUUCCAACAGUAUGCAGAGACAAGGAUAAGAUCAGUCAGAGGGGAAAUCUAAUGGGGAUCUCAUCAGGAAGUGAU
rnacentral:lncRNA from 1 species